rnacentral:misc_RNA from 1 species
AACGGUCUAUACCUGCGGUACCUGCGGAGGGAUCAUUGCUGGAACGCGCCCCAGGCGCACCCAGAAACCCUUUGUGAACUUAUACCUUACUGUUGCCUCGGCGCAUGCCGGCCCCCAGGGGCCCCUCGGAGACGAGGAGCAGGCACGCCGGCGGCCAACCUAACUCUUGUUUUUACACUGAAACUCUGAGAAAAAAAACAAAAUGAAUCAAAACUUUUAACAACGGAUCUCUAGAUCGGA